UUCGAUAAGGGCAAACCCUGAGUGAUCAGGGGACGCAAAGGAAAGGGUCUUGAGACGUACAGGGAUGUGAGUUCAUAAGAUAGCCUUGCCACAAGAAAAGAUAGCCUUACUGCCGAAG
rnacentral:ncRNA from 1 species